rnacentral:rRNA from 1 species
UUGUUGCAGUUAAAAAGCUCGUAGUUGGACUUUAGGCAAGGCGGCCUGGUCACCCUCUGGGUGUACUGGGAUCGCUGCGCCUCACCUUCGGGGAGCUAGUCGUGCUUCGGUGCGCUAGGGAACCGAGCCUUACCUUGAGGAAAUUAGAGUGUUUAAAGCAGGCUUAUGCUUGAAUACGUUAGCAUGGAAUAACAUGAUAGGACUUUGGUUCUAUUUUGUUGGUUUGAGGACCAAAGUAAUGAUUAAUAGGGACAGUUGGGGGCAUUAGUAUUCAAUAGUCAGAGGUGAAAUUCUUGGAUUUAUUGAAGACUAACUAAUGCGAAAGCAUUUGCCAAGGAUGUUUUCAUUAAUCAAGAACGAAAGUUAGGGGAUCGAAGACGAUUAGAUACCGUCGUAGUCUUAACCAUAAACUAUGCCGACUAGGGAUCGGUGGAAGUCGAUUUUGACUCCAUCGGCACCUUACGAGAAAUCAAAGUUUUUGGGUUCUGGGGGGAGUAUGGUCGCAAGGCUGAAACUUAAAGGAAUUGACGGAAGGGCACCACCAGGAGUGGAGCCUGCGGCUUAAUUUGACUCAACACGGGAAAACUCACCAG